GCCAUUGACAGCCCCCUAAAGGGGACUCAAAAUCCCCCACCGGCAACGGCGUGCGGGUUCGAGUCCCGCCCCGGGCA
rnacentral:tRNA from 1 species